rnacentral:rRNA from 1 species
AGCAGCCGCGGUAAUUCCAGCUCCAAUAGCGUAUAUUAAAGUUGUUGCAGUUAAAAAGCUCGUAGUUGAAUUUCGGGGUUAGUAGGUUGGUCGUGCCACUGGUGCGUACUGAUCUCACUGAUUCCUCCUUCCUGAUGAACUGUAAUGCCAUUAAUUUGGUGUUGCAGGGAAACUGGACUGUUACUUUGAAAAAUUAGAGUGUUUAAAGCAAGCUAACGCUUGAAUACAUUAGCAUGGAAUAAUGAAAUAGGACGUUCGAUCCUAUUUUGUUGGUUUCUAGGAUUGACGUAAUGAUUAAUAGGGAUAGUUGGGGGCAUUAGUAUUCAAUUGUCGGAGGUGAAAUUCUUGGAUUUAUUGAAGACUAACUACUGCGAAAGCAUUUGCCAAGGAUGUUUUCAUUAAUCAAGAACGAAAGUUAGGGGAUCGAAGACGAUCAGAUACCGUCGUAGUCUUAACCAUAAACUAUGCCGACUAGGGAUCGGAUGAUGUUAAUUUUUAAUGACUCAUUCGGCGCCUUAAC